rnacentral:rRNA from 1 species
UACGGGGGGAGCAAGCGUUGUUCGGAUUUACUGGGCGUAAAGGGCGGGUAGGCGGCCACCGCAAGUCAGUUGUGAAAUCUCUGGGCUUAACCCAGAAAGGUCAACUGAUACUGCGGGGCUAGAGUGCAGAAGGGGCAACUGGAAUUCUCGGUGUAGCGGUGAAAUGCGUAGAUAUCGAGAGGAACACCUGCGGCGAAGGCGGGUUGCUGGGCUGACACUGACGCUGAACUGUGAAAGCUAGGGGAGCGAACGGG